GCAUGAGCAUUUGAUCUAAAAAUCAGGCGAUUGGUGGCUUGUUGUUAGAUACUUGUUUUUACUUUUACGCGUAAAUCUACCACUACUAAUUGUGGACGAACAUCGUCAGACCUGACUUUGUUGACUUCGUCACGUUCAGCUAUCGACCUGGGAUUUUAAAACAUUUUCCGUGCGCUUUUGUGUGAAAGUGCGAGUGAUUACAUUCAUUUUGUAUUUUGGGGGGCUCAAUAAUGAACGUUAUAAUCGUUGAUGGUUGCGCACGCUAGACUUUGGAAAUAGAAAAGCACCACAAUGGCAAGCAAUGUCAAACGUUGUAAGUUAAUUGGACUCUGUGUUUAUAGUAAUAGUUAAUAGUAAGCGCAGCCAAAAAUCUGUUGUGAAGAAUUGCCUUUACAGAAAUAUCCACCUAAAGGCGUGCGUAAAACUCUUGCGCAAGAGCUCCAACGGCAGCAAUGGUUUAUGCGCUAUAGUAAUGCGCACGGCUCUGUGUGAUUUCUUUUGGUGGAUUUGCUGAUCGGCAGUGUCGUGGGAACACCCCUACCAUAUCAGGAACAGAAGGCUGAGGAAGUACGUGGCCAGACACCAGUCCCACUUCAGAUGGAGGACAGGAGAGAUGGUUUGUUAUGGAGUCCCCUGACUAAAAGACAGGUUUAUACAGAUGUCUGGGAGAGAGUGGAGUGUUUCUGAGAGCAUUGUGUCUGUCUUUAAAAAAUGUAUUAUGAUUGACUAGGCCUGGUUCCCCAAUGGGUGGGCCUGGCUCCCCAGUGGGUGGGCCCCUACCCAGUCAUGAGAAAUCCAUAGAUUCGGGCCUAUUGAAUUUAUUUAAAUUGACUGAUUUCCUUAUAUGAACUGUAACUGUGUAAAAUCGUUGAAAUUGUUGCAUGUUGCGUUUAUAUUUUUGUUCAGUAUAUAUUGAACACAUGGUUUCCAUGUGUUUGGUGAAAUUCCAUUCACUACAUUUUGGCCAUUAUUAUGAGCUGUUCUCCCCUCAGCAGCCUCCUGUGUUGUGCAAUGUCCACAUGUAGCCUACACCUGUAGGUAUAUUAGGGAAAGAUCUAACAGUGGACAUAAGGAGAGACAAGACAAAACAAGCCAGUUAUAGAAAACUUUUGUUGACAGCUGAGCUGACUGAAGACCAGGUAAUCAACUGGCAGUUGUUGGUAUCGAUUCACGGUAACAUGUGAUCAGGGGGUUACAUGACGUGACAAAACUUCAAGUUGGAAGCUAUUUUUGUAGCAAGGUUUUGUAGAAGGUGUGUCUCAUGACACACAUUCCAGACACUGGUACUUCUUGCUAUCUUGGUAUAGCUGUGAUUUGUCAGAGAAAUUUCAGCUAGCUAGAUGGAUAGCCAGCUGUAGCUAUCCCCAAGCAAUGCUAGCUUGCUAGCUUCUGUCAGAUUGGCUAAACACAAGGUCAGCGCAGGCUUUAGCCUACACAUAGAACUGAAUCAGCAGAUCAUCUUGAGAUGGCAGGUCACUCAGGAGGGGACAAGUCUUCAACUUCAGAACUUCUCUCCAUAGCAAAGCUAGCUCAGCUUUCCUCACUGUCACUAAGUUACUCACUACUACCCUUGUUUGUUUGUUGUAAAUGAAUGGCAAAGACACACCCAAGAAACACCCACAUUAAACCACACCCAGAAAGACAA